UGCAAAGAAAAAUUGCAAAAAUAAAUAUAAAAUAAUACUGCAACCGAGAAAGGAAUGCCAACACUUUUGGGCAUUCGAGAUUUUCUUUUGUCCCAACUUGGAUUGGCCGGCUCUUUUAGAGAAUUUAGAAUUGCUAAAUUUUCUCUUUGCCACUGAUUGCUUAUUGGUCAUACCGCUGGCAAUUGCACACGCUAGACCCUCCAUAGAGUGUAAUAGGUGUUGCACAUUGCGGUCCUCGCCUUCCCCCCCCACCUGUUGAACAGGUGCCACUAGUGAAGCGCACGCGGAUAUUCACCCUAACCUGCAAGCCUAAGGGAGAAUUGGUGAAGGCAGCGAACCUCGCUGCGAACAGCCAGCUAGAGUGGGAAUAAGGCGAUAAUCUUGCGGCAGCGAAUCUUCGCUGCAGAUUAUCAAACGGUAUUCGAUAGCGGCUAAGCGAAGGCGAUACUAGAGACGUUCAAAGGAGCGUAGAUCUUCCGGCGAGAGAUCUACGGCUCCACACAAAA